UGUUCCCAUGCCGAACACAGUAGUUAAGCUUCUUAACGCCGAAAGUAGUUGGUGGGAAACUGCCUGCGAGGAUAGGAAGCUGCCGCGC
rnacentral:rRNA from 2 species